GACGAACGCUGGCGGCGUGCUUAACACAUGCAAGUCGAGCGAGAAAGCGCCUUCGGGCGUGAGUACAGCGGCGAACGGGUGAGUAACACGUGGGCAACCUGCCCUAGAGACUGGGAUAACGUCCCGAAAGGGACGCUAAUACCGGAUGAUGCGCGACCUGCCAAGUAGGUCGCGCCAAAUGGUAGCUUCGGCUUCUGCUCUGGGAUGGGCCCGCGCCGGAUUAGCUUGUUGGUGAGGUAACGGCUCACCAAGGCGACGAUCCGUAGCUGGUCUGAGAGGACGAUCAGCCACACUGGGACUGAGACACGGCCCAGACUCCUACGGGAGGCAGCAGUGGGGAAUCUUGCGCAAUGGGCGAAAGCCUGACGCAGCAACGCCGCGUGAGCGAAGACGGCCUUCGGGUUGUAAAGCUCUGUCAGGAGGGACGAAGCCACUCAGGUGAAUAGCCGAGAGGGUGACGGUACCUCCAGAGGAAGCCCCGGCUAACUACGUGCCAGCCGCCGCAGUAAAAC
rnacentral:rRNA from 1 species